rnacentral:rRNA from 1 species
ACGUAGGGCGCAAGCGUUGUCCGGAGUUAUUGGGCGUAAAGAGCUCGUAGGCGGUUUGUCGCGUCUGCUGUGAAAGCCCGGGGCUCAACCCCGGGUCUGCAGUGGGUACGGGCAGACUAGAGUGCAGUAGGGGAGACUGGAAUUCCUGGUGUAGCGGUGAAAUGCGUAGAUAUCAGGAGGAACACCGAUGGCGAAGGCAGGUCUCUGGGCUGACACUGACGCUCAUGCACGAAAGCGUGGGGAGCAAACAGGA